UGUUAAGAAUUUACCACCUAUUGAAGAAAUACAUGGUAUUAAUACACAGCCUAUUGAAGAACCACAUCAUUUUGAUAACCCGACAAAGGUAGUAAAGGUAAAUUCUCUCUAUAGAUAUGAUAAAUUUGAAAUCCCCUCUACUAAAUUUCAUAGCCCAUGCUUAGAUGAAUUUGAUGACUUUAUGGCUAGACAAGAAAGUUUUAAGGCUUAUGUUGGUAGAGAAUUAAGGAAUAAUGCUUUCGAGAUAGGACGCGUAAGCGGUAAUAUGGCUAGAGUUAAAGGUGAACUCAAACUCAUUAGCAAAUAUACUUCUAUGGUUGCUACUCAAGCUGAGCAAGUACUUAAAGCUCAAAAUGAUUUGCUUGAUGAAUUAAAUAAUAAAAAUGACUUUGCUGUUAGAGUGGCUACUAGAACUAGUAGAAUGACUCAGGAACCUUUGUAUCCUGAAGGCCACCCUAAGAGAAUUGAGCAAGAUUCUCAGAGAAAUAAUUUAGAGGCACUUAGUUCUUCUAAAAAGAAGAAAAAGAAAAACGAUAGAACUUUGCAUGCUUCUAGUGAACCUACUGUAGACACACCUGAGAAUCCCAAUGAUAUUUCUAUCUCUGAUGUUGAAACACAAUCAUGUGAU
rnacentral:rRNA from 1 species